CAGUCGCCACGGUAAUACGUAGGUGGCAAGCGUUGUCCGGAAUUAUUGGGCGUAAAGCGCGCGCAGGUGGUUUAAUAAGUCUGAUGUGAAAGCCCACGGCUCAACCAUGGAGGGUCAUUGGAAACUGUUAAACUUGAGUGCAGAAGAGGAGAGUGGAAUUCCACGUGUAGCGGUGAAAUGCGUAGAUAUGCGGAGGAGCACCGAUGGCGAAGGCAAUCCCCUGGGCCUGCACUGACGCUCAUGCACGAAAGCGUGGGGAGCAAACAGGAUUAGAUACCCGCGUAGUCCCUGUCUCUUAUAC
rnacentral:rRNA from 1 species